rnacentral:rRNA from 1 species
GAGUUUGAUCCUGGCUCAGAUUGAACGCUGGCGGCAGGCCUAACACAUGCAAGUCGAACGGUAACAGGAAGUAGCUUGCUACUUUGCUGACGAGUGGCGGACGGGUGAGUAAUGUCUGGGAAACUGCCUGAUGGAGGGGGAUAACUACUGGAAACGGUAGCUAAUACCGCAUAACGUCGCAAGACCAAAGAGGGGGACCUUCGGGCCUCUUGCCAUCAGAUGUGCCCAGAUGGGAUUAGCUAGUAGGUGGGGUAACGGCUCACCUAGGCGACGAUCCCUAGCUGGUCUGAGAGGAUGACCAGCCACACUGGAACUGAGACACGGUCCAGACUCCUACGGGAGGCAGCAGUGGGGAAUAUUGCACAAUGGGCGCAAGCCUGAUGCAGCCAUGCCGCGUGUAUGAAGAAGGCCUUCGGGUUGUAAAGUACUUUCAGCGGGGAGGAAGGCGGUGAGGUUAAUAACCUCAUCGAUUGACGUUACCCGCAGAAGAAGCACCGGCUAACUCCGUGCCAGCAGCCGCGGUAAUACGGAGGGUGCAAGCGUUAAUCGGAAUUACUGGGCGUAAAGCGCACGCAGGCGGUCUGUCAAGUCGGAUGUGAAAUCCCCGGGCUCAACCUGGGAACUGCAUUCGAAACUGGCAGGCUAGAGUCUUGUAGAGGGGGGUAGAAUUCCAGGUGUAGCGGUGAAAUGCGUAGAGAUCUGGAGGAAUACCGGUGGCGAAGGCGGCCCCCUGGACAAAGACUGACGCUCAGGUGCGAAAGCGUGGGGAGCAAACAGGAUUAGAUACCCUGGUAGUCCACGCCGUAAACGAUGUCGAUUUGGAGGUUGUGCCCUUGAGGCGUGGCUUCCGGAGCUAACGCGUUAAAUCGACCGCCUGGGGAGUACGGCCGCAAGGUUAAAACUCAAAUGAAUUGACGGGGGCCCGCACAAGCGGUGGAGCAUGUGGUUUAAUUCGAUGCAACGCGAAGAACCUUACCUGGUCUUGACAUCCACAGAACUUAGCAGAGAUGCUUUGGUGCCUUCGGGAACUGUGAGACAGGUGCUGCAUGGCUGUCGUCAGCUCGUGUUGUGAAAUGUUGGGUUAAGUCCCGCAACGAGCGCAACCCUUAUCCUUUGUUGCCAGCGGUUAGGCCGGGAACUCAAAGGAGACUGCCAGUGAUAAACUGGAGGAAGGUGGGGAUGACGUCAAGUCAUCAUGGCCCUUACGACCAGGGCUACACACGUGCUACAAUGGCGCAUACAAAGAGAAGCGACCUCGCGAGAGCAAGCGGACCUCAUAAAGUGCGUCGUAGUCCGGAUUGGAGUCUGCAACUCGACUCCAUGAAGUCGGAAUCGCUAGUAAUCGUAGAUCAGAAUGCUACGGUGAAUACGUUCCCGGGCCUUGUACACACCGCCCGUCACACCAUGGGAGUGGGUUGCAAAAGAAGUAGGUAGCUUAACCUUCGGGAGGGCGCUACC